AUUGAACGCUGGCGGCAGGCCUAACACAUGCAAGUCGAACGAGUGGAGGAGGGGAGAGUCAUGUCUGGAAAACUGCCUGAUGGAGGGGGAUAACUACUGGAAACGGUAGCUAAUACCGCAUACCAUCGGAUGUGCCCGAGUGGGAUUAGCUAGUAGGUGGGGUAAUGGCUCACCUAGGCGACGAUCCCUAGCUGGUCUGAGAGGAUGACCAGCCACACUGGAACUGAGACACGGUCCAGACUCCUACGGGAGGCAGCAGUGGGGAAUAUUGCACAAUGGGCGCAAGCCUGAUGCAGCCAUGCCGCGUGUAUGAAGAAGGCCUUCGGGUUGUAAAGUACUUUCAGCGGGGAGGCGUUACCCGCAGAAGAAGCACCGGCUAACUCCGUGCCAGCAGCCGCGGUAAUUC
rnacentral:rRNA from 1 species